UACGUAGGGACCAAGCGUUGUUCGGAUUUACUGGGCGUAAAGGGCGCGUAGGCGGCAUGACAAGUCACUUGUGAAAUCUCCGGGCUUAACUCGGAACGGCCAAGUGAAACUGUCAAGCUAGAGUGCAGAAGGGGCAAUCGGAAUUCUUGGUGUAGCGGUGAAAUGCGUAGAUAUCGGGAAGAACACCCGUGGCUAAGGCGGCUCUCUAGUACGGUACUGACGCUGAGACGCGAAAGCGUGGGGAGCGAACAGG
rnacentral:rRNA from 1 species